rnacentral:rRNA from 1 species
CCUACGGGAGACAGCAGUGAGGAAUAUUGGUCAAUGGGCGCUAGCCUGAACCAGCCAAGUAGCGUGAAGGAUGACUGCCCUAUGGGUUGUAAACUUCUUUUAUAUGGGAAUAAAGUGCAGUAUGUAUACUGCUUUGCAUGUACCUUAUGAAUAAGGAUCGGCUAACUCCGUGCCAGCAGCCGCGGUAAUACGGAGGGUCCGAGCGUUAUCCGGAUUUAUUGGGAUUAAAGGGAGCGUAGGCGGGUUGUUAAGUCAGUUGUGAAAGUUUGCGGCUCAACCGUAGAAUUGCAGUUGAUACUGGCAGCCUUGAGUACAGUAGAGGUAGGCGGAAUUCGUGGUGUAGCGGUGAAAUGCUUAGAUAUCACGAAGAACUCCGAUUGCGAAGGCAGCCUGCUGGACUGUAACUGACGCUGAUGCUCGAAAGUGUGGGUAUCAAACAGGAUUAGAUACCCCUGUAGUC